CCCUUAGACGUUCUGGGCCGCACGCGCGCUACACUGACCAGCGCAACAAGCAUCCGUCCUUGGCCGACAGGCUCGGGCAAUCUUUGAACGCUGGUCGUGAUGGGGAUAGACUUUUGCAAUUUUUGGUCUUCAACGAGGAAUUCCUAGUAAACGCAAGUCAUCAACUUGCAUUGAUUACGUCCCUGCCCUUUGUACACACCGCCCGUCGCACCUACCGAUUGAAUGGUCCGGUGAAGCCUCCGGAUUGGCGCGCACCUCGGUGCCGCCGAGAAGUUGGCUAAACCUUACCAUUUAGAGGAAGGUGAAGUCGUAACA
rnacentral:rRNA from 1 species